rnacentral:rRNA from 1 species
ACUCCUACGGGAGGCAGCAGUGGGGAAUAUUGCACAAUGGGCGCAAGCCUGAUGCAGCCAUGCCGCGUGUGUGAAGAAGGCCUUCGGGUUGUAAAGCACUUUCAGUCGUGAGGAAGGUAGUGUAGUUAAUAGCUGCAUUAUUUGUACGUUAGCGACAGAAGAAGCACCGGCUAACUCCGUGCCAGCAGCCGCGGUAAUACGGAGGGUGCGAGCGUUAAUCGGAAUUACUGGGCGUAAAGCGCAUGCAGGUGGUUGUUAAGUCAGAUGUGAAAGCCCGGGGCUCAACCUCGGAAUAGCAUUUGAAACUGGCAGACUAGAGUACUGUAGAGGGGGUAGAAUUUCAGGUGUAGCGGUGAAAUGCGUAGAGAUCUGAAGG